CAGAGAAUAGUUUAAUAAGAAUAUUAAUUUUGGAGAUUAAUGGUAGGUGGUACUUUUCUCUGA
rnacentral:tRNA from 1 species